rnacentral:misc_RNA from 1 species
UCCCUGCUAUCAGUAGUGUGAAUUGCAGAAUUCAGUGAAUCAUCGAAUCUUUGAACGCACAUUGCGCCCCUUGGUAUUCCAUGGGGCAUGCCUGUUCGAGCGUCAUUUGUACCCUCAAGCUCUGCUUGGUGUUGGGUGUUUGUCCCGUCUCCGCGCGUGGACUCGCCCCAAAGUGAUUGGCAGCCGGCGUACUGGUCCCGGAGCGCAGCACAUGUCGCGCAAACGAGUGCCUUGGUACGGCGGCGUCCAUAAGCCCCUCUCUCACGCUCUUGACCUCGGAUCAGGUAGGGAUACCCGCUGAACUUAAGC